rfam:Actinoalloteichus hoggarensis strain DSM 45943 chromosome, complete genome.
ACGUGCGCUCCGGGGUCGGUGGAAGUCCGAACCGGCGGUGACAGUCCGCGACCCGUCCGGCUGAUCUUCGGCCGCGACGGUUGACCCGGUGGAACUCCGGGACCGACGGUGAAAGUCCGGAUGGUAGGCGGCGCAC